rnacentral:rRNA from 1 species
GAUGAACGCUGGCGGCGUGCCUAAUACAUGCAAGUAGAACGCUGAAGGAAGGAGCUUGCUCUUUCCGGAUGAGUUGCGAACGGGUGAGUAACGCGUAGGUAACCUGCCUGGUAGCGGGGGAUAACUAUUGGAAACGAUAGCUAAUACCGCAUAACAGUAGAUGUUGCAUGAUAUCUACUUAAAAGGUGCAAUUGCACCACUACCAGAUGGACCUGCGUUGUAUUAGCUAGUUGGUGAGGUAACGGCUCACCAAGGCGACGAUACAUAGCCGACCUGAGAGGGGGAUCGGCCACACUGGGACUGAGACACGGCCCAGACUCCUACGGGAGGCAGCAGUAGGGAAUCUUCGGCAAUAGACGGAAGUCUGACCGAGCAACGCCGCGUGAGUGAAGAAGGUUUUCGGAUCGUAAAGCUCUGUUGUAAGAGAAGAACGAGUGUGAGAGUGGAAAGUUCACACUGUGACGGUAUCUUACCAGAAAGGGACGGCUAACUACGUG